UACGUAGGGUGCGAGCGUUAAUCGGAAUUACUGGGCGUAAAGCGUGCGCAGGCGGUGAUGUAAGACCGAUGUGAAAUCCCCGGGCUUAACCUGGGAACUGCAUUGGUGACUGCAUCGCUCGAGUAUGGCAGAGGGGGGUAGAAUUCCACGUGUAGCAGUGAAAUGCGUAGAGAUGUGGAGGAAUACCGAUGGCGAAGGCAGCCUCCUGGGCCAACACUGACGCUCAUGCACGAAAGCGUGGGGAGCAAACAGG
rnacentral:rRNA from 1 species